UGUUUAUUGGGCUCUAUAUUUCAAAGCAUUUACAUCUCAUCACAAAUCACUGUUUAGUUUAAAAAAAAAAAUGUUCAUCUUGUGAGUGCUAAACAGAGAUAUAUAAUCUGCAUUUACUCUCCCUUAUUUAUAAGGCUUAUAUUUAACGAUCUCAAGGUUUAUAUAAUGUAAAACUAUUUUAUCUAUGUUAUCAGAUACAUAGGCCCAGCCUUUAUUUAAGUUUAAGAAAUGAGGCUCAACACAGUGGAAUCAGGUAUUUGAUUCAAGGGAAAGGAUCCAUGCUUUAGUAGUAGAACUGUGUUUCUUGAUCCACGAGCUGAGAACUUGGAUAUUGAUAUUGCUAGAGCUGCUAAUGAAUUACACAUCCAAUGAGCUUGAUCAAAGUCAGAUUAGGGUACAGUAAACUUGACAGAAUGUAAAAUGCUGUGACAGUACAGUGUCCAUCCAAAUCAGUGCUUAUUAAACCAGUUCUCAUGGCCCUGCAACAUUCCAGGUUUUGGCACUAUCGUCAUUGGAAUAGAAAAUGGAAAUACUGAAAGAUUAUUAGAUUAUUACUGGGCCAUGAGGACUGGCUUGGGAACUACUGAUCUCAAUGGACAAGAAGCAUUUAAAAUGCUGAGACAUGGCUUGGAAUAGUACUUUCUUUGAUCUGUUACUGACUUCAAAUAACAAUUAACAGGCAGUUAUUUAGCAAUGUAAAUAUCUGGUAUUAUGAAAGGCAAGGCAACUAUUGACAAACUAUAAUAAACAAGGAGACAUUGUGUAUUGUAAAUCUUACAGUACAAUACACGGGAGUACACAAACUCGCCAAUUUUUGUGCCAUCUUGGUUCCUCUGAUUCGUUUUUACCGAAACAAUUGCAUUAAUAAAAUUCAUUAAACGCCACAUGGAUGAAUCCCGAAUCCCCAACCAAUUUUAUUUUUAACAGAUAAAUUUGGAUGAACCAAUUUUCUUCGUCAUACACAAGUCCUGCUUUGGCUUAAUCCUCAUUAGACCUCUUCCCUUUGUGAGCAUAAAAUCUGCACAUCCAAAAGCAGCAGGGUAGGCCACACUGCUACGCACGGUUAUACAGUUUUAUCACCUUACUUUAUAUCUAUAAGAGAUUUUUGUGUUCUUUAUAGACUUAAUGGAUGCUGUCUGGAGCUUCUGUUAAUAAGAACAGGAAACACGGUACCUGAUGACAUGAAAGAAACACACAUCUGUCUAAUUGACUGCAAUUUUUCAUUAAUUUUCAAUAGAUCAACUUAAAUCUUUUUAUUUAAGCAGUUGUCCUCAUUUACAGUGCUCAGCAUAUCUAGAUUUUGACAUUCUGUGAAAUGUGAUUGGAAUCUUUUGUGGAGGUUCAAAGAGUUUCUAUAGAAUUCUGAGAAACUCAUAUAAACACAAAAGCUUGCCUCUUGCAAGGAUUUCCCUUUACCCAUAUAAUACCAUCCUGUGUCUGCUUUCCUAUAAGUAGAAUUCCAUUUCAGAAGCUUUACCAAUCAACAGGAAGUGAGUAUCUGGACUCUAAUAUAAAGUUUUAAUGUGUACAGGGAACUCUGGGUCAUAGUAAUUCAUAAUUCACCUCAGUUAUAUGAAUUAACAUGGCUGCCACCUGUCUUUGCUGUCAAAAGGAUGUGUGGUUUUUUAUCCCCUGAUCUCCACAGCUAGUACAAAAAGAUAUUAGUAUUUUUUAUUUUUUAUUUUACAUUAAGCAGCUGCUUCUCAGAGAUCAUGGAGAGCUUCAGCAGUAUGCUGCUCAUGAGUAGAGAGAAUGGGACACUGCAAAAAAAGGCAGGGAAAUCUCACAGGAUAUCCCCAACUGUCUGUUUGUGUAGGGGGUCAUUGUUUUCCUUUUGGGUUUAAGUCUGAGGACUUCCCCAUUAUUGCCAAGGUUGUUUGUUCACAAAAAAACUAAGUUUUGAUAAACCAAUAACCAAAUUGGAAAAUGAAGGCCAAAACAGUCAAAAUGGAAUUUGGAGGGGGGCCGUGUCCUAGACUCUGAACAGAGCAGAUGCAUGAUUUGAGUGAUCCGUGAUGAACAGGCCACAAAAAUUCAAUUAGGCUCUACCUACCAAACUAAAAAGGACCAUGUCCCAACCCAAAAACAAGAGACAUGAAGACAGGACCGAAAAAUCCUGUUUUUUUGCUUCUCGAGUGGGUCAGACCAAGUCUCAGUAGGCCCAGGUACUCGACCAAGAUGGCGCAAUCUGAUCAGCCACAGCCGACUCCGGAACCGGCGGCCACGCUCACUCAAGCGGUGUGCAUUGGAUGCAAUGUCCACCAAACUGCUGAAUACCCUGCAAACUGCCAUUGGAGACUUCAAAAGAGACGUCGACGAGCUUGGCAACAGGACAUCCGCGGUGGAAGACAAGACGGCGGAAAUGGCCGAAGCGCAUAAUGACCUCGCAGGGAAGGUGGAAAGCCUCCUUGCCAAAAUAGACUCGCAUGAGGCUCAGAUGGCAGCCUGGAGGUCAUAGGAAGCCGUAACAACAUCAGCGGGUUGGCUGAAGCAGUCACUCCGGCUGACCUUGCAACUUACAUCACAGGCUCCUGCAAUCCCUGGCACGGGACCUGUCUCAUGACAUACUCCUGCUGGAUAGAGCACACCGAACGGCAAGGCCCAGGUUUCUCCCACCCGAAAUGCCUCGCGAUGUGCUGCUGCGUAUGCACUACUACUAAGCUAAGGAGGCGAUCCUGAAAGCAAGCAGGACCAGAAAGACCCUGCCGGAACCCUAUAAUGGCAUUUUACUGUUUUCUGAUAUCUCUGCAGCCACACUGGAAUGCCAAAGGGACUUCCAGGACCAUCACAACAACGCUAAGAUCACACCACCUAGCCUAUAGAUGGGGUUUUCCUGUAAAGCUACUGCUCAACAGAAAUGGGAAGACUAGUGUGAUCCACUGGGGACUGGAAAACCGACACACCCCGAACCAUUCAUUGCAGAUAGGAAGACUAUCUCCAGAGUGGAAGAAAACGAAAAGACAUUGAUACCGCUUACUGGCACUGGCCUACACACAGACUGUAGUGGGCUAAACGACAACAGCAAGUAUUUUUGAUGUAACCCUUAUGCUGGAGUGUUCUAUGGGUAGCGAGGGGCCUGACCUGGUACUACAAACCGCCUCCCCUUCCCCAGAUUAUUUUAUGGGAAUUAAGCACCCAGAGCACUGUGGCUCAACUAGUAAGGGAUAGAGG
rnacentral:lncRNA from 1 species